GAUACCAAAAUUCCGAUCAGUUUUCUGAAGCUUGGGUUUGAUUAUGUUCGGCUUCGUUCUGCUCCUCGCCUUCCUGUUCACAAGAUUCGGUUUUCUCAGCUUUGGUUCACAAGAUUCGCCUUCCUGUUUACUUGGAUUUUCUCUUUUAUUUAAUUUUUUUCGCCUUUGCUGACAACAUCUUUGGUGGGACUACAAUUCCAGAUUCGUAUAGCAACAUGUCUAAACUGUUCAAGUUGUAAGUGCUGCUUCUGAUUCUAUGUCUUCUCGUAAGUUUAAAGGAGUUUGAGGAACUGCAACUUACAAGGGCCUAUUCCUGAUUUUAGUAGGAUUCCAAACCUUGGUUAUGCACAGGUUCAAGUUUAAAUGUGUAAAAAGUGUACCCACUUUUUAUUCAUGAUGGUCAAGAUGGGACACGUAUCUGGGCAAUGUUGGGAUGUCUAGGCUUGGGUGGAGACGUGGACUUACGGUAGUGGUGAAGUAGCUUAGCUCUAUCUCAUUAGCUCUCAUCUGUUCUGUUUAAGCUCAUUGGUGCUGGCUGUGAGGUUUUUCGAAACUUUCAAUUUUCGAGAUCUGAAGCUUAGAAUCCCAUUCAA